GAUGAACGCUAGCGACAGGCUUAACACAUGCAAGUCGAGGGGCAGCACAGGUAGCAAUACCGGGUGGCGACCGGCGCACGGGUGAGUAACGCGUAUGCAACUUACCUAUCAGAGGGGGAUAACCCGGCGAAAGUCGGACUAAUACCGCAUGAAGCAGGGGCCCCGCAUGGGGAUAUUUGCUAAAGAUUCAUCGCUGAUAGAUAGGCAUGCGUUCCAUUAGGCAGUUGGCGGGGUAACGGCCCACCAAACCGACGAUGGAUAGGGGUUCUGAGAGGAAGGUCCCCCACAUUGGUACUGAGACACGGACCAAACUCCUACGGGAGGCAGCAGUGAGGAAUAUUGGUCAAUGGGCGUAAGCCUGAACCAGCCAAGUCGCGUGAGGGAUGAAGGUUCUAUGGAUCGUAAACCUCUUUUAUAAGGGAAUAAAGUGCGGGACGUGUCCCGUUUUGUAUGUACCUUAUGAAUAAGGAUCGGCUAACUCCGUGCCAGCAGCCGCGGUAAUACGGAGGAUCCGAGCGUUAUCCGGAUUUAUUGGGUUUAAAGGGUGCGUAGGCGGCCUUUUAAGUCAGCGGCGAAAGUCUGUGGCUCAACCAUAGAAUUGCCGUUGAAACUGGGA
rnacentral:rRNA from 1 species